rnacentral:pre_miRNA from 1 species
AAGAUAAUUGCUGGGUUGAAUGGUAAGAGUAUAUUUAGCUUUGCAAGAAAUUGCCAAAUUGUCUUUCAAAGUGACUGUACCAUUUUUCAUUCCCAACAGCAAU